rnacentral:rRNA from 1 species
CCCCUAGAUGUUCUGGGCCGCACGCGCGCUACACUGAACAGUUCAACAAGUCUUAACCUUGGCCGAUAGGUCUGGGUAAUCUUUGAACGCUGUUCGUGAUUGGGAUAGACCUUUGCAAUUAUGGGUCUUCAACGAGGAAUUCCUAGUAAACGCAAGUCAUCAGCUUGCAUUGAUUACGUCCCUGCCCUUUGUACACACCGCCCGUCGCACCUACCGAUUGAAUGGUCCGGUGAAAUCUCGGGACGGCGGCUUGGUCGCUUGCGUCCGACUGCUGAAACUUGAUUAAACCAUAUCAUUUAAAGGAAGGUGAAGUCGUAACA